rnacentral:tRNA from 1 species
GUGAUUAGUUCAGUGGUUAGAUGACUAGAUUGCAAUGCUAAAGGUCUAAGGUUCGAGCCCCUAGUCGGACG